rnacentral:rRNA from 1 species
UACGGAGGGGGCUAGCGUUAUUCGGAAUUACUGGGCGUAAAGCGCACGUAGGCGGAUAAGAAAGUCAGAGGUGAAACCCCAGGGCUCAACCUUGGAACUGCCUUUGAAACUCCUUGUCUUGAGGUCGUGAGAGGUGAGUGGAAUUCCGAGUGUAGAGGUGAAAUUCGUAGAUAUUCGGAGGAACACCAGUGGCGAAGGCGGCUCACUGGCACGAUACUGACGCUGAGGUGCGAAAGCGUGGGGAGCAAACAGG